CCUACGGGGGGCUGCAGUGGGGAAUAUUGGACAAUGGGGGGAACCCUGAUCCAGCCAUGCCGCGUGUGUGAAGAAGGCCCUCGGGUUGUAAAGCACUUUCAGUGAGGAAGAACGCCUGGUGGUUAAUACCCAUCAGGAAAGACAUCACUCACAGAAGAAGCACCGGCUAACUCCGUGCCAGCAGCCGCGGUAAUACGGAGGGUGCGAGCGUUAAUCGGAAUUACUGGGCGUAAAGCGCGCGUAGGUGGCUUGAUAAGCCGGUUGUGAAAGCCCCGGGCUCAACCUGGGAACGGCAUCCGGAACUUUCAAGCUAGAGUGCAGGAGAGGAAGGUAGAAUUCCCGGUGUAGCGGUGAAAUGCGUAGAGAUCGGGAGGAAUACCAGUGGCGAAGGCGGCCUUCUGGACUGACACUGACACUGAGGUGCGAAAGCGUGGGUAGCAAACAGGAUUAGAUACCCUUGUAGUC
rnacentral:rRNA from 1 species